rnacentral:tRNA from 1 species
GGCCUGAUGGUCUAGUAGUAUGAUUCCUUGUUAGGGUGUGACAUCGUUUCGAGGAGGUCCCGGGUUCAAUUCCCGGUCAGGCCC